rnacentral:rRNA from 1 species
UACGUAGGGGGCUAGCGUUGUCCGGAAUCAUUGGGCGUAAAGAGCGUGUAGGCGGUCCGGUAAGUCCGCUGUGAAAGUCGGGGGCUCAACCCUCGAAUGCCGGUGGAUACUGUCGGGCUAGAGUGCGGAAGAGGCGAGUGGAAUUCCUGGUGUGAGCGGUGAAAUGCGCAGAUAUCGAGGAGGAACACCGGUGGGCGAAGGCGGGGUCUCUGGGCCGAAAUUGACGCUGGAGGAGCGAAAGCCGUGGGGAGCGA